UUGUAACACACAGGUGCAGUGCAGGUGUACAGUCGGAAUCAGACUUGCCUGGAGCGGCCAGUCGGCUGCUUCAGCCGCAGUUUUUUUCCAAAGUAUGCAGAGAACGACGCCGUAAUGAUACCAAACAUAGUCGUACCGCAUGGUGGGCCCUUCUGCUGUAAUUAAAGCAUGAACGGAAACUUGUA
rnacentral:lncRNA from 1 species